GACGAACGCUGGCGGCGUGCCUAACACAUGCAAGUGGAGCGACGACCCAGGCUUCGGCCUGGUGCAAAGCCGCGAACGGGUGAGUAACACGUGGGUAACCUGCCCCGAUGAUUGGGACAACCCGAGGAAACUCGGGCUAAUACCGAAUGUGCCCUCCAGCUAUAAGGCUGCUGGGGAAAGGAAGCUUCGGCCUCCGCAUCGGGAUGGGCCCGCGGCCCAUUAGCUUGUUGGUGAGGAAUGGCUCACCAAGGCUACGAUGGGUAGCUGGUCUGAGAGGACGAUCAGCCACACUGGGACUGAGACACGGCCCAGACUCCUAC
rnacentral:rRNA from 1 species